rnacentral:rRNA from 1 species
UUAAGGAACAAAGGGCGCACAGUGGAUGCCUUGGCACUAAGAGCCGAUGAAGGACGCAACUAACGGCGAAACGCCACGGGGAGCAGUAAGUACGCGACGAUCCGUGGGAAUCCGAAUGGGGAAACCCAGCACAUGGAAGAUGUGUUAUCCAGUAAUGGAGGGAAAACGCAGGGAACUGAAAUAUCUAAGUACCUGCAGGAAAAGAAAGUAACAACGAUUCUGCUAGUAGCGACGAGCGAACGCGGAGGAGCCUAACACCAGAAUAGUUACAAAACUCUAGAUUAGAAGAAUGGCGUGGGAAAGCCAACCAUAGAAGGUGAGAGUCCUGUAUUCGAAAAUGUAGAGACUAGGGUGUUGAAAAGUACGGCGAGACACGAGAAAUCUUGUCGGAAGAUGCGAGGACCAUCUCGUAAGGCUAAAUACUACUUAGUGACCGAUAGUGAACCAGUACCGUGAGGGAAAGGUGAAAAGAACCCCGGGAGGGGAGUGAAAUAGAACCUGAAACUGUGUGCUUACAAUUAGUCAGAGCCCGUUAAUGGGUGAUGGCAUGCCUUUUGUAGAAUGAACCGGCGAGUUACGGUAUCUGGCAAGGUUAAGCUUUAAGGAGCGGAGCCGAAGCGAAAGCGAGUCUGAAUAGGGCGUUAAGUUAGAUGCUGUAGACCCGAAACUUGGUGAGCUAGCCAUGAGCAGGUUGAAGUUUGGGUAAGACCAAAUGGAGGACCGAACCAGGACACGUUAAAAAGUGUUUGGAUGACUUGUGGCUAGGGGUGAAAUUCCAAUCGAACCAAGAGAUAGCUGGUUCUCCCCGAAAUAGCUUUAGGGCUAGCGUUAACGUAUGAGUUUUAUGAAGGUAGAGCACUGAAUGUGUGAUGGCCCCACCUCGGGGUACUGAGCCCAAUCAAACUCCGAAUGUCAUAAAAUAUAGUUAGCAGUCAGACUGUGGGUGAUAAGGUUCAUGGUCAAAAGGGAAACAGCCCAGACCGCCAGAUAAGGUCCCAAAAUUAAUGCUAAGUGGAAAAGGAAGUGAAGAUGCACAGACAACUAGUAGGUUGGCUUAGAAGCAGCCAUCCUUUAAAGAGUGCGUAAAAGCUCACUAGUCGAGUGACUCUGCGCCGAAAAUGUACCGGGGCUAAGCAUUAUACCGAAUCUGCGGAUUGACAAUUUAUUGUCAGUGGUAGGGGAGCGUUCUAAGGGCGGUGAAGGUAGACCGGGAGGACUACUGGAGCGCUUAGAAGUGAGAAUGCCGGUGUAAGUAACGAAAAGAUAGGUGAGAAUCCUAUCCGUCGAAAACCCAAGGUUUCCAGGGGAAGGUUCGUCCGCCCUGGGUAAGUCGGGGCCUAAGGUGAGGCCGAGAGGCGUAGCCGAUGGAUAGCAGGUAGAGAUUCCUGCACUAGUUAGUAAACUGAUGGAGUGACAAAGCAGGCUAACAUCCGCCCCUUAGUGGAUUGGGGACAAGGGAUCAAGUCUUGUGCGUAGGCAAAUCCGCGCACUUUAAGGACAAGAUCCGGUAGGUAAAGGAUGAUGAUGUCAAACUUUCAAGAAAAGCUUCUAGGGUUAAUUUACUAACUACCCGUACCGUAAACCGACACAGGUGGGUAGGUAGAGUAUACUAAGACGCGCGAGAAAACCCUUGUUAAGGAACUCGGCAAAAUGACUCCGUAACUUCGGGAUAAGGAGGACUUUUAAUGAAAAAGAAAAGUCGCAGAGAAUAGGCCCAAGCGACUGUUUAUCAAAAACACAGGUCUCUGCAAAACCGUAAGGUGAAGUAUAGGGGCUGACACCUGCCCGGUGCUGGAAGAUUAAGAGGAGAUGUUAGGCAACGAAGCAUUGAAUUGAAGUCCCAGUAAACGGCGGCCGUAACUAUAACGGUCCUAAGGUAGCGAAAUUCCUUGUCAGGUAAGUUCUGACCCGCACGAAAGGUGUAACGAUUUGGGCACUGUCUCA